rnacentral:rRNA from 1 species
AUGGCAUCCGAACUGAAUGACAGAGAUGCGUUGGACUUUUCUAUCUACGUGAUGAAACACCAUGAUGCGAAUCAUUCAAGAGCGACAGCAACACUGAACGGUAACCAUGUCCGAGCGAUGGCCCGCCACGGCGUGCCAUCAUCAUCAGUAUGGGGGCACAGCAUCGACGCUGUAUCAGGGGCCAGGGAGAUGCUGCAAAAGAUCGCAGGGCUGUUUAGAAAAGAUUUUGGGGAUCUGAAUGCCCCUAUUGGCUCGCCUUUGGGGAAAGGUGAGCCGUGUUGGAGCAUAAAAGGACUUGUUGCUCGUAGACUGAAAAGACAUUAUAAGUUCCAUGAAAAGCAAAUUUGUGAGGGGGCUUCCCUUAUGGAUUGGCAGGUGAAGUGUCACAUUGCAAAUUAG